GGUCCCAUCGUCUAGCGGUCUAGGAUACCGGCCUCUCACGCCGGAGACACGGGUUCGAUCCCCGUUGGGACUACCA
rnacentral:tRNA from 1 species